ensembl:lncRNA
UCCAGUCAGCAAUAACAAAAUAAGAAAACUUUUGUAUUAAUUCAAGGUUCUGUAUUUUAUUAAAUCAUCUUUAAUAUUAACAAAAUAAAAAGUUUCAAAAUAUAACAACCCUCAAAAGUGUUUCAUUUCUUACAUACAGUAGAUCUAUAGUGUGUGUCGUCUGCUCUGCUCCUACAAGUGACACCUUUUAGAAAUUGCACAUUAAACCCACAUACAAUAAAAGAGACAUUCAAGUCCUCACAAAUAAUUCAAACUGUAAUCCUAUUUUCAUAUUCUUAUCCAAAAAUCAUCUAUUGUACAGGCAACAGUGUGUACAUUUGUAUAUAUCUCUUUUCUAUCCAUGUAAUAGUGUGUUACGAUUUUACCGAUUAAGACAAAAUGGUUUAUCCAUAAUAUUCGUGGCAGAAUCUUAAAUUAUUAUAAAUUAUAAAUUACUUGUCAGCUGGGUUUUUUCUCCGGGCUUUGCCUAAAUGGGUUCAAUUAAAUGUUGAAAAAAAAAAUCUACUCAACUGUCUAGACAGAUACAAAUCAACACUGUCAAUCAAGUCCCUGGUGCAUAAUACAUAUAAUGCACCUUGCCACUUGUAGGGAAUAGGAAAUUGAGUAAGGAGUAGUGUGUAGGGAAGAGUAUGUAAAGAAUAGUAGUAGGGAAUGGAGUAACGAGUAGGGAAGAGUAAAUAAGGAAUAUUAAGUUAGGUAUAGUAGUAAGGAAUGGUGAGUAGGGAUUAGUGAGUAAGGAAUAGGGAGUAGGGCAGAGUAAGUAAGGAACAGUAGUAGGGAUAGUGAGUAAGGAAUAGUGAGCAGGGAAGAGUGAGUAAGUAAGGAACAGUGAGUAGGGAAGAGUAAAUAAGGAAUAGCGAUUAGGAAAUAGUGAGCUGGGAAUACUGUAGAGUAAGGAAUAGUGAGUAGAAAAC